UCCUAGGAGAGUUUGAUCCUGGCUCAGGACGAACGCUGGCGGCGUGCUUAACACAUGCAAGUCGAACGAGACGGAUUGGGAGCUUGCUCCUGACAAGUCGAGUGGCAAACGGGUGAGUAACGCGUAGACAACCUGCCGCAAAGAUGGGGACAACAGCCCGAAAGGGCUGCUAAUACCGAAUGUUGCGCCCCUCCCGCAUGGGAGGGGCGCCAAAGAUGGCCUCUGCCUGCAAGCCAUCGCUUUGCGAUGGGUCUGCGCCUGAUUAGCCAGUUGGCGGGGCAACGGCCCACCAAGGCGACGAUCAGUAGCCGGUCUGAGAGGAUGGACGGCCACAUUGGGACUGAGACACGGCCCAGACUCCUACGGGAGGCAGCAGUGGGGAAUCUUCCGCAAUGGGCGAAAGCCUGACGGAGCAACGCCGCGUGGGUGAAGAAGGUCUUCGGAUCGUAAAGCCCUGUUGCCCGGGACGAACGCCCCCGGCGCGAACAGCGCCGGGGGGUGACGGUACCGGGCGAGGAAGCCACGGCCAACUACGUGCCAGCAGCCGCGGUAAUACGUAGGUGGCGAGCGUUGUCCGGAAUCAUUGGGCGUAAAGGGAGCGCAGGCGGGCAUGCAAGUCCAUCUUAAAAGCGCGGGGCCCAACCCCGCGAGGGGAUGGAAACUGCGUGCCUUGAGUGCAGGAGAGGAAAGCGGAAUUCCCAGUGUAGCGGUGAAAUGCGUAGAUAUUGGGAGGAACACCAGUGGCGAAGGCGGCUUUCUGGACUGCAACUGACGCUGAGGCUCGAAAGCCAGGGGAGCGAACGGGAUUAGAUACCCCGGUAGUCCUGGCCGUAAACGAUGAAUGCUAGGUGUGGGGGGUAUCGACCCCUCCCGUGCCGGAGUCAACGCAAUAAGCAUUCCGCCUGGGGAGUACGGCCGCAAGGCUGAAACUCAAAGGAAUUGACGGGGGCCCGCACAAGCGGUGGAGUAUGUGGUUCAAUUCGACGCAACGCGAAGAACCUUACCAGGGCUUGACAUUGAGUGAAAGGGCCGGAGACGGCCCCCUCCCCUCGGGGACACGAAAACAGGUGGUGCAUGGCUGUCGUCAGCUCGUGUCGUGAGAUGUUGGGUCAAGUCCCGCAACGAGCGCAACCCCUGUCCCUCGUUGCCAGCGCGCAAAGGCGGGGACUCAAGGGAGACUGCCGCGGACAACGCGGAGGAAGGCGGGGACGACGUCAAGUCAUCAUGCCCCUUAUGCCCUGGGCUACACACGUACUACAAUGGGAUGGACAGAGGGCAGCGAGCCCGCGAGGGCGAGCGAACCCCGGAAAGCAUCCCCCAGUUCGGAUUGCAGGCUGAAACCCGCCUGCAUGAAGUUGGAAUCGCUAGUAAUCGCAGGUCAGCAUACUGCGGUGAAUACGUUCCCGGGCCUUGUACACACCGCCCGUCACACCACGGAAGUCAUUCACACCCGAAGCCGGCGACGCAACCGCAAGGAGCCAGCCGCCCAAGGUGGGGGCGAUGACUGGGGUGAAGUCGUAACAAGGUAGCCGUAUCGGAAGGUGCGGCUGGAUCACCUCCUUU
rfam:Mitsuokella sp. oral taxon 131 str. W9106 genomic scaffold Scaffold67, whole genome shotgun sequence.